rnacentral:lncRNA from 1 species
CCUUCCCCUCAGAGAGGCCACGCCCUCCGCCCCGCCCUCAGAGAGCCGCCAAGAUGGCGGGAGGUGGCGUGUGGUGAUGGUGGGUCCUGUCCAGGCUGGGCGCUACCGCCUCUCUUCCCGUCACCUCAAGGGUCUUUUCACCCUCUCAGAAGCCCUAGUGGGCUCGACGAGGAGAAGGGACUGUGCUGGGAUGGGCCUUGUUCAUCUUCCAAGGCUGACAGACUUCAUGAUUGAAGGUUUCAAUUCCUUUUCCAUAAAAAAACCCAACACUGGGAUCAUCUCAAGAGACACUUUUAUGAAUAGCUGAGGUCAGGGCACGCAUGUAGCCUGCAGCAGGAGAACUGGCCCAGAGUGACCAGAUGACACACAGCAACCUCCCUUGGUCCAGGCACACCCAAAAUCUGGGGGCGAAGCUCCCAGAUUGCAGCCAGAUGAACCACUACAAUAUUUAACCUUUUACUGCAAGGGAAAGGCACAAACUGGGUGUGAGUUUCCCCUCCUAACCCUUCUCAUUUGUUUUGAGGGAUUCAGAGGAUUGGGAAUGUCCCAUCCAUGCUAAAAAUUAAUAUUAUGUUGUUCUGCUUUGCCUGGUUGAACAGGGACACUGGGAGGGUAGACACAUUUCCAUGGUGUGAAAAACGAUAGACAGAAGUUUAGCUUAACUCUCACCACAGUGCAUUUUCCUUGAUGGAAAGAUUUUAUGGGUUUGAGGUAGAUUUUACAUUUUUGUCUGAAUAAGUGGAAAGUUGAUGCUUUUUAAAACCAAAACCAUGCCAUAACAAGGCCAUGACCACAUGGGGUCAGCCCAGCUUUCCCCACUGAGGCUCAGAGCAGAGGUCCUGGACCUGCAGCAGGAAUGCAGCGAAUUUUGGACAAUCCUUACCCAGGAGCAUCCUCCCAGAUCCCAACAGUCGCUGUGGAGGGACAUCCUGGCCCAGAAGGUGCAUCUGGCCUGUGGGAUUUAACAGCUGAGCAGCAUCCUCUGUGUAUCCCAACUUCUGAUCUCUGCUGUGUGGCAGUGGAAUGUUGAAAAAUGAGGGGAAAAUCCUUUAUUUUGGUUAAAACUCUUGCUGUGCCCCAGCAAGGCUGAGUUUGUCAGCCCUGGAAACCAGUGCUGUCCCGUUUCCCACCACAGGUGCUGACAAACCUUUUUGCAUGUGGAUUUUGUAGCAGCAAGAGUCUAAACCAGAGCAGGGGGAUGAUCUGUAUGAGAAAACCUUCCUUGUAAUUCCAGGCCCUUGUAAAUAGUCUUUCUCCAUGUUUUUUGUAGGCUUCCUUCAGGCACUGGAUGCUGCAAUUAGGUCACCCUGAAGUCUUUUCCAGGCUGCACAAUCCCAGUUCUCC